CAUAAGUAUCGUAAACACAUAUUUUUUAUGGAGCAUGGAUAAGCGUCACCCGAUUGAUGUAGCAUAUUUUUUGAAUCACUGUUGUCGUCACAAUUUGGAUCGGUACAUGAAGGGACCAAUCUGUAUGGGUCCCUAUGUGACUCAUCUAGCGAGGUAUUUUAGACUUUUCGAUACUCUGGAGUAGUCCUCCUCCUUGAGUCUGGUCGAAUAGAUGGUCCCUCAGGGAUUGAUUAUUAUGAACCACAUGUGGAUGAUUCAUCGUCAGCCAAAUUUAGUCCAAACUGGUUUACAUUGCUUUGUCUAGAUCCACAAGGUAAGCAUAAGGAGCUUCUAGACGAUAACCCACCUAGACAAGCAUACCCAUCUCGACCUAUUCCUCCCCUAGUAAUUCUACAGCUGCACAUACUGUCACGCUUGAGGUCAUAUAUUGCACACAGCAACAGCAGUCAAAGCAAGUCAAUUGCUUACAGCAGUAGCAGGACCGUAUGAAGGCAUAUUUACUGCAGUUAUGCCAACACUUUCAUCUUUCAUCACCAAGCGCUUGAGAGCAAAAGAAGCGAAAAAAUAAUCGAAAACUGGAGCGUCGAAGCAAGUUGAAGGAGCCACGCAAGCUAUACCUUUUCAUACGGUUAAACCACACGGGUGUGUGAUAGACCGUGUUGAUUUCACAGGAUUGCACAUUGAACAGUAGAAAAUCACGAUUUUUAGGUUUUUCAGGCAGUCUAAUAUAUAUAUAUAUAUGACAAAAAUAAAAGAUAUGAGAGGGGCGUCAAAUAAACUCAAGAAAACAACUCGAAAAAUACCAUUGAGGUCGACUUUGAAGCAGAUUUCCAUCAAGAUUGAAGAUUCCUAGUUGAUUUCUUAGGAAGUUAUUAUGAGUUUCUUUUAUUCUUUCAGUUAUACUGUAUAUUUGAUUUUUCUCUUUUCGAGCAUGAACUAAUUUUCUAAAUACAUAUGGGAGAUAAACCCUACAAUGAAUUAUGUAGUUUUAUUUCUAUUUUACACAAUAAAUACUUAGUUUCUUGUUCUCAA